AUGGCGGAAUCUGCGGGCUGGUCCGCGCUGCCAUCCGACCUGGUCAACCGCGUCGCCGACUGCCUCCUGGCCACCAACGACGUGGACUACUACAUGGACCUCCGCGCCGUCUGCGCCGCCUGGCGCCGCGCCACCGCAGGCACCAAGAACAGCCCGGACCCCCGGUUCCGCCCGAGCCAGUGGAUAGUGAUCGACGAGGUCAGUUGCUCCAGGUUCAGGAGCUUCCAGCGCCUCACGCCCCUCCUGGUUAACACCGCCACAGGCCGCGCCCUCCGCAAGUACCUGCCGAUGCUCCGCAACUACCAUGUCAUCGCCACCACACACGGCGGCUUCUUCGUCCUCGCGGACAGGAAGCCCCCUCACGCCGCGUGCGUGCGUACUCAACCCUUUCACAGGCUACUUGGUUCGUUUCAUGGCGCCCAUGGUUAUAGACUUGGUUGCUCCUGCUGCUGCUGUCACUCAUUUUGA
rnacentral:rRNA from 1 species